GACAGAGGUGCCAAGCGUUAGGCGGAAUCACUGGGCUUAAAGCGUGUGUAGGCGGGCGAUCACGUACCUUGUGAAAUCCCACGGCUCAACCGUGGAACUGCUGGGUAUACUGGUUGUCUUGAGCCAGCUAGGGGCGAGCGGAACAGACGGUGGAGCGGUGAAAUGCGUAGAUAUCGUCUGGAACGCCGAAGGUGAAAACAGCUCGCUGGGGCUGCGCUGACGCUGAGACACGAAAGCCAGGGGAGCGAACGGG
rnacentral:rRNA from 1 species